rnacentral:rRNA from 1 species
GACGAACGCUGGCGGCAUGCCUAACACAUGCAAGUCGAACGAGACCUUCGGGUCUAGUGGCGCACGGGUGCGUAACACGUGGGAAUCUGCCCUUUGCUUCGGAAUAACAGUUAGAAAUGACUGCUAAUACCGGAUGAUGUCGAAAGACCAAAGAUUUAUCGGCAAAGGAUGAGCCCGCGUAGGAUUAGGUAGUUGGUGGGGUAAAGGCCUACCAAGCCGACGAUCCUUAGCUGGUCUGAGAGGAUGAUCAGCCACACUGGGACUGAGACACGGCCCAGACUCCUACGGGAGGCAGCAGUGGGGAAUAUUGGACAAUGGGCGAAAGCCUGAUCCAGCAAUGCCGCGUGAGUGAUGAAGGCCUUAGGGUUGUAAAGCUCUUUUACCAGGGAUGAUAAUGACAGUACCUGGAGAAUAAGCUCCGGCUAACUCCGUG